GCGCCCGUAGCUCAGCUGGAUAGAGUACCGCCCUCCGAAGGCGGGGGUCAGAGGUUCGAAUCCUCUCGGGCGCGCCA
rnacentral:tRNA from 1 species